UACGGAGGGGGUUAGCGUUGUUCGGAAUUACUGGGCGUAAAGCGCACGUAGGCGGACCAUUAAGUCAGGGGUGAAAUCCCGGGGCUCAACCCCGGAACUGCCUCUGAUACUGGCGGUCUUGAGUUCGAGAGAGGUGAGUGGAAUUCCGAGUGUAGAGGUGAAAUUCGUAGAUAUUCGGAGGAACACCAGUGGCGAAGGCGGCUCACUGGCUCGAUACUGACGCUGAGAUGCGAAAGUGUGGGGAGCAAACAGG
rnacentral:misc_RNA from 1 species